CAGCCGCCGCGGGAAUACGUAGGCGGCAAGCGUUGUCCGGAACUAUUGGGCGUAAAGGGCUCGCAGGCGGUUUCUUAAGUCUGAUGUGAAAGCCCCCGGCUCAACCGGGGAGGGUCAUUGGAAACUGGGAAACUUGAGUGCAGAAGAGGAGAGUGGAAUUCCACGUGUAGCGGUGAAAUGCGUAGAGAUGUGGAGGAACACCAGUGGCGAAGGCGACUCUCUGGUCUGUAACUGACGCUGAGGAGCGAAAGCGUGGGGAGCGAACAGGAUUAGAUACCCCCGUAGUCCCUGUCUCUUAUAU
rnacentral:rRNA from 1 species